AGCCCCUCUCUCUCUCUCUCUCUCCUCUGCACGCAUUUAAUUCUUCUCUCUCUUCUCCUCCUUCGUUUUCGCAUCGAAGAGGAAAACCCACCGCUCUUUCCUCUCUGGCUUUCAAAUUUAUUUUGAAUCUCUGCGAUUUCGCUCUCAAAUUUCGCUCGGCUUCCUCGUUGCUCCGGCGAUCUUUCGCUCCGUGGCGUUGUUGCUGCUCCGGCGAUCUUUCGCUCUCUGCUCAAUGCCAUACCGUCGAGAAAGGCGCCAGCCGCAAGCAAGGUUUGAAGGGAUGAUGGCUCCGAGCCAAGGGCAAGCGGCAUUGCUGACAUUCUGCUCCUGCAUUAGCCUCACUAGUGUUGCCCUUGUUCUUGCAAACUGUUCUGGACAUUGGUAACAACUGGUUUUGGAUCAUUGCAUUAAGCCCCUUAGCUGGAGCACACUAUUGGAUGCGGGCAUCGUGGAAGGAGCAAA